GCACAAGCAAGAGAAGCUGUGAUAUGGCAAUAGUCUUGGCAGUGGCCAGGCAGGUGGGUACCAGAACUUAGUUUUACUGUAGAACCUGUAGCCAUUUAUUUCUGUGACACAUGGGCAUUGCAUCAGAAGAGAAUCAACUGCUCUCCAUCUCGCAAUCACACAGACAAGCGACAAAAGAGGUAAAGCCGAUCAUCCAUUUUCUAUACUAAGAACUUCCAAGGAAUAAUUGACUGAAAUUAUGUGCACAAGUAGAUGACCACACAGGUGUGACGUGUAAUUCGCAUCGAAAGAUUACAUUAUAUUUAUAAUGAGUUGUUCCCAAUGCAGUCAUUACAACGAAACUCUACUUACACAUAUGCUGUUCUGAAUCAAUAGGUUGUACUUCAUUUCUCCUGUAAGAAAAUUGUCAUGUACAACAUUGUGUAUGACGUGAAAAUAUUGAAUUAAUUUGAUUUUUGUUUUUCAAUGUAUGUGCAGCCUUAAAGCAACUAUUUCAGUUUUAUCUACUCAAAAUGCAUUGUAUUUUCAUGUCAACUGUAGGAUUGUAACAUUAUCAUUUGAAUUUGAAUCUUUGGGUGACAAAUGCCCAAUAUACACAAACAUAUAUAUAUAUAUAUAUAUAUAUAUAUAUAUAUUCUUCAGAAAUGACAGGUUCUUAUUUUAUGGAAUUGAAAAUUAGAAAAAAAAAAAAAAAUAGCAACACGUAAGUGCAACAACCAUGCACCUUAAAGAAGCUGUAGAUUUCAUGUGUGCAAAACCAUGGCUAAGGGCAUGCACACCUCCCCCUCGGAGGGUAUCCUGAGUGGACCGAUACCCGGAUCGGAGUACAUCCAUCCAUUAUAUGUGUGAAAAAACUCAUCCAUCCGAUUCUUCGUCUUCCUCGUUUUUGAACUGAAGAUCCCGCCAUAUUGAACUGAGGUUCCUAUGAAGCUGUGUUGGCGCAGGGGAAGAUUACGAUGUUCAUUUCCUCGAGGCCGAUGCUGGGUUGCAGUUCAGUGAGGUGAGAUCAGUUGUGGCCUCGGGGGAUCUCUCAGGGUUUGUGAAGAGUGGAGGUAGCAAUGGCGGACGAGGAUGAGACAGAGUUGACGUACGAGGAGAAGCGGAAGCAGCGAGUGGAGGAGAAUGAGAAGAAGAUGGGGGAGUUAGGGCUGUUGAAAUUGGCGAAGAGCGUUUCAGAGGGUAAUGGCGGUGCCUUACUGAAGAAAUCCACGAAGCGGAAGAUGAUGUCCUCACUAGAGGAGCUUAGACUGGAAGCGCGACGAUCAUCGCGAGUUGCAGCGAAGCCGGCUGUAACUUAUAAUGACGCUCCGGUCCUGUCAGGGCUGCGUGAGAAGGUUGAAACGAGGCAUGGACUGCCGAAGCAGUAUCUUUCAGACAAACCGCGGAUGGCGGCCAUUGAUGCGGCUGAGGCGGUUUUCAAGGAUUUGCGAAAUCCGGCGUUUAUAAAGUCGUUAUUGCAUUCGCACACUUCUGGUGGAUUUUGGAUGGGUUUGCAGAGUGCUUUCUGCAAAGAGCAUUUGCCCGUUGAUGAUGAACGUAUCAUGCUGGAGGCAAACGACUUGGAGUGGGAGUGUAUAUAUCUUGCAGGCAAAGGAGGCUUGAGUGGUGGAUGGCGGGGCUUCUCAAUUGAUAACCAGCUUGCAGAUGGAGAUUGUUGCAUAUUUGAGCUCGUAAAUCCGCGUAGAUUCGUGGUUCACAUCUUCCGGGUUUCCAGAGAUGAAAGUCUGAAACCGGUGAAAGCAGGAAGGGAGAAAAGUAACAAGAAAGCAGGAAAGCGCUGAACGCUGUCGGCAACUUGGAGGAUCAAGUUUGAAUUGUGAUAAUUGGAGCAUAAUUCGCUUUCCUCCGCUUGCCACUCUGUGAUCCGUGUUUCAGGGCGAAUCUCAAUGCAGCUACCACGCUUGACUCUCAUUGUCCUCGACAAUUCGGAACUCAUUUUACACUCUGGAGUCUUCCCCUUCUGCAACCUUUAUGCCAAUCUAGAGCCUUGUCUCGCUACAUCCAUUGGCAGGUAACCAUCGGUAGCUCCGCAAGAAAGACACAAGGCAAAACUUGGAUGUGUGAUAAUUGGACUAACGGCCAUCUUACCUCACGAGCUUGUGAAGCUUCUUUGUCCGAGAUUGGGUGCUCGUCAUCUCGAUAAUUCCACUCACUCAAUUCAUCAUGAAGGUGGAGUUUGAAUGGUUGCAAUGGACAAUUGAAUGUCGAAUUCGAAAUAUCAGUAAGGCUGAUCUAUCUUCUCUAGGUGGCUGUAAGACACGCGCCUGUCCUGCCUAAUUGAUCUUUUUUUCCUACGAGAUUUUAGCUUCUAUCCAAGCGUCAGCAGGUUCACGUGCUUAGUGAAAUUUCGAGGUCCAAGAUUUCUCAUAAGGUUCUUCGAGUAGAAGUUGGAAUCCAUUGUAUUGAAGUGGGUUGCCAGCAUCUAAUGGGGAGAGGGUGUACAGAUGCACCUAAUAAUAAAAUUCAUCAGCCAUUCCUACGAUAUUGGAAUGUUCAUAUGCGUUGGAGCUAACCAAAAUACGCCAGCAAAGUGAUCAAGUCUUGGCCAUGAUUAUACGUUCCGUUCUGUACACUACCAGUGUAGCCCGUAGCAACGAGCUGUGUUUUGUUCGACCCAGAUGAAAUCCAGGUUUACGAUCCAUUGAGGUAAAGUGGAGUACAGAAUGCACCUAAGCAGUUCAUGGAGCAGGAUUCACAGAUGCCCGUCUGGGUGAUCUUUAGAGGUUUGACGCGUUUGAGAGCGUCUGAGAUGGAUAACUGUGGAUUCACGAUCAUGCCUUCCAAUGUCGUGAUAUUGUUGCAGAAUCUUCAAUACAACAAAACAAGAAAAGAACAUGUAAUUUUUUUAAUUUUAAA